UACGUAGGGGGCCAGCGUUGUCCGGACUUACUGGGCGUAAAGCGCGCGCAGGCGGUCGUGUAUGUGCCGUGUGAAAGCGCCGGGCUACUCCCGGCGAGGUCAUGGUAGACAGCACGACUUGAGCCUCGGAGAGGUCGGUGGAAUUCCGGGUGGAGCGGUGAAAUGCGUAGAGAUCCGGAGGAACACCGGUGGCGAAGGCGGGGUCUCUGGGGCCGAUACUGACGCUGAGUGCGCGAAAGCCAGGGGAGCAAAAACGGGGAUUAGAAACCCCCA
rnacentral:rRNA from 1 species